rnacentral:lncRNA from 1 species
GCCCGGAUCCAAGGAUUAUCACCGUGUGUCUAGAAGGACUAGAGAACAUUCUGAAAGUCGGGGAAGCUGAGAAGGUGACGGGAAACACAGGGGAUGCAAACUAUUAUGCACAGCUAAUCGAUGAUGCUGAGGGACUAGAAAAGAUUGAGAAUCUGCAGAGUCAUGACAACAGCGAGAUUUAUGAGAAGGCAGUGAAGAUUCUUGAAACAUACUGGUUGGAGGAGGAAGACGAGACUUUACCACCUGGUGAUGAAUCUGCUCAGGGAUUCCAGUUUGGGGGUAGCGAUGCAGCCGCACCUCCAGGUGGAUUCAACUUCAAGUGAAGGUAUAAUAAUACUCAAUUAACUGUAGGAUUAAACAAAUCCUGUCCAGAUGUCUGAGCAUCUCAAAGCAUAGAGUAGGUGGGAGUAGAGUGAAUCAUGUGUGUAAUUCUUUGAGUCUGGUUUUGUUUAAACAGGAGCAAAGCAUGAUGAUUGAAGAGUCAAAGGAGGUCAAGAGUCUUGGGGGCACUGGUUUUAAAUGGGUCUGAUUUGAGUCUGGUCUUGUGUUUAAAAGUCAGAUGGGGGUGCCUUGGUCGGUCCUGAUAUUGUCUGGUCAGAUGGUGGGAUUGAGUCAUAAAAUAAGCUUUGUUGGGGGAGUUGGGUAGGAGUCAAUGAGAGGGGGAAUAUUUUAUGAACUCUAAAUGGGAAAAUUUGGGUGGUCUAGUUAUGUUGUUUGGUGAGUCUCUGGGGGCUUUGUUAUAUUAGUUACUACACAACACUCAUUGCAAAGUCAAAAAACAUAAAAAAGUUGGUCAAACAUUUUCUGGUCUUAUUGGUGGUGGCAAAGAAAGCCCACUUGGUGCGUCUCUUUAUUUUGUUAAUAUUUUUUUAUCUAUUUGUUUUCCUGUGCGGUCCAAGUCAUGUUGGGCUAUUGUUGUCUACAUAUGCACGCUUUUCUAUAUAUUAUAUAUUACUAAUGUCUUUUCUUUUCAAAGUAUUAUGUCCCAUAAAUCGAUGUUAUUAAUGCUUAUCGUCAACUUCGAUUAAGUAGGGGUUAUAUAUAUAUUCCAAUAUUUUUGUUCAAAGUGGAAAGUCUGGGAUUAUAGGCAUUAUUAAAAAAAUCCUACUUUUAAGUGUUAUAUUUGUAUUGAAAUAUUUAAAAACUGAUCGAGUAUGGUGUCCAAUGUUUGUUUUAUUUAAAAUUGUAUCUAGUUGUAAGAACUCUUUCAUUUCGUGUGAAAAUUUUUACACAGAAUGAGUAAAAGACAGGUGAUGAGAAUGCAUGUAUCUCUAAGCCCAACUUGGCAAUUUGCAUACAGAUUGAAGAACUGUAAAUUUUGUAAUAAAUUUGAGCGCCACAUUUGAAAAUAAUUUAAAUUUGAUUUAAUUUUGUAAAAGUUAAUAAUAAAUGUUGUAAAAAUUCAAUUUUCCCUCUUCUUUUCUAGUUUGUUUUAAUUUUUGGCGGGUGGGCUCAGUGGUAAUAAAAUCCCGCGCGCGAGGGCGAUGAAGUAAUUAUAAGAAGGAAAUCUAGGGUUUAUUUAGUCCCCGCCUCCUCCGCUGUUAUAAAAACCAUCUCCGUUUGGUUAAUUCGUUAUUCCUCUGCGGCAUCUUUCUCUCUCCUCCUUAUCAUCAUCAUCAUCACACUCUCUCUUCUUCACAAGCCAGAGAUUUCUCAUUUCUCUGACGGUUUCUAUCGUUUCUGUGAUUCUUCACUUAGAGGCCAAAGAGCUUCCUUUCUCUCUCAACCCUCCUCAAUGUGAGUUUUCUUUGAUCGCUUGAUCCUUAAAGGUCGAUCGCGUUAGUUUGUUGUACUGAAGUUGUCUUGUUUGCUUUUGAUCUGAUAGAUGUCAAUGACGGAAGAAACAAAGACGACGACGAAGCUCGAAACGGCGGGGGAUUCCUCCGAUGUUGAAAGUGGAAACUGUAGCAGUAGCGGAAGUGGAGGCGACACGAAGAAGACAUGCGUUGAUUGCGGGACAAACAAGACUCCACUUUGGCGUGGUGGCCCUGCUGGUCCUAAAGUAAGAUCAACCUUUUGUGCUUUGCUGUAGAUCUAGUCAUAGGUGUACUUCAGUACACUCAACAAUGUUGGUUGAUCUUGUGUUAUUAGCUCUGUUCCAAGUGGGUUUAAGUGUAGGCUUUGCUGUAUAAGUGUGAUCAGAUCACCUAGGUAGUUGAUAUGUUGAUCAUAGACAAAAAGAACAAAGCUACUUGAUCAUAGAAGAAGUAUAAAUGUUGAUUACCUUGAUGAUAUCACUUUGUGUUCUCUGGUCUGAUCAAGUUUUGUUCUUUUUAUGCAGUCAUUGUGCAAUGCGUGUGGGAUCAAGAGCAGGAAGAAGAGGCAGGCAGCUCUUGGAAUCAGACAAGAUGAUAAUAAAAAGAUCAAGAACAAAACCAACAACAGUCUUCCUCUCGACCACCAGAUGAUCAAGAAUAGAAAAGGCGAGUCAGGAAAUGUCAAGAACAAGAUCAAGACAACAGAGAGUGAGAAUUUCAUCAGUAGAGUUAACAAGAAGAGUUUGGAAAGGGCAAGUCGAUUUUUGGAUUUAGGUUUUAAAGUACCGGCGAUGAAGAGAUCGGUGGUGGAGAAGAAGAGGCUGUGGAGGAAACUCGGUGAAGAGGAACGAGCUGCAGUACUUCUCAUGACUCUUUCUUGUGGUUGAGUUUUGUUUCUCGACUCUUUUUUUUUUGUCUGAAUGGUGUUUGAGAGAGAUUAGAGGGAAAAUUAGAGAAAUUUAACAUAAUAUAAUAUGUAAUUCUGUCGGAAUUGUUUUUUUUUGUAGCCCAAGCUAAUGUUCUGCUAUUUUACUAAUUAAUUAGUUAUUUCUUCAGUCUAAUAUAGUCAGCUUUUUUGCAUUUAACCAGAUUAUAAAACAUGCUACUUGUGGUAUUUUUAGCCGCUUACUAAGUAUUUUAUUCAUGGUCUCGGGUUUUUUCGUUUGUCAAUGAUUUAGAAAGUGAAUUUGAAAUUUGAAUCACUUUGUUUUUCAAAAUUCCCCAAAACAAUACCAGCUGUUCCCUCUUAUCUCUCGUACAACUCGAUGUGACCCCAUGUGGACGCGCUCUUGGAGCGCGUGAUAUCAGAACGGGACAGCUAUAAAACAGCUCACGACUUUUGGGCUUAUGUUGGGGGUGAAAUGAAAAAAAAGAGAAGGUGAUGGAGACAGCCCAAUCCACGCACCCCUCUCUCUUCUCAUUUUCAUGAGAACUUUUUUUUCUGAUUUUCAUAUCCCACUUUUUUUUGUUUUCACAAUACAAUACAAGGUUAAUAACAUUUAAAUAAUAGCUUAGUCUGCAUAUAGACAGGCCCAACCCAUAAGAAACAAUCAUGAAAAGCUAUGAAUUAUGAAUUAAGAGCUGAUUUUGGAGUGUUUCUUGUACUGUUCACGGGUCUCACUGACACGUGCACUACAAGAAAAAUGUGUUUAAAUAGCAAACCAGAAUAGCGUUUUUUCGCUUUCUGCUAUGGUUGACAUAUCCGAUAGUUUUAGAUAGCGUUUGUAUUUUUGGAAACGCUAUGAUAGAGCGGCAUAAUUGAAAACGCUAUGAUAGUAUUCAUUUAAUAGCACAUAAAAUAAUAAACGCUAUAAUAGUGUACUUUUUGAAUCCCUGAAUCCUAAACAAACUUCUGAACCAUAUACUCUAAAAAGCUAAAUUUAAAGACUAAUAUAGUUAUAAUCUUUAUAAUAUUUUAGAAAUUAAACUCCAAAUCUUAAAUAUAGAACUAUAAACUUAAAUAUUUAAAAAUUAAACACCAAACCUAUAUACAUUAAAUCCAAACCAUAUAUCAUACAUAAUCUCUAAAUUUAAAAUCAUAAACUUCAUAUUUGAUAGUUCUAAAAUUUCAAUACUAAACCAUACACGUUAAAACUAAAAUAUAUUUAUUAUAUCUAUACUCACAGAAUUUCAACACAAAACCUUAACCUUUUUUUUAAUCAAAAUUCUGAAAGUACUUAUAAAAAUAUAAUCUUUUCAAAUUUAAUUUUCAAACCUUAAAUCUAACCUUAGAACUCUAUCACAUAGACCUUUGCUCUAAAAUCUUAUACUUUAAAUCUGAAAUUCAAUAGUUCUUUAUUAACUUUAUAAACGUAAAUGAUAAUCUAGGUUAUAUAUUAAUAAAUUAGUUACACAACAAAACAGUUUUUGAUUGGUUAAUCUUUGACCGUUGAUUGGUUUUAAUCCAAUGGUUAUAACUCAUUCUUUUGUUAAUCCUUUCUCUCUUUUUUUUCUAAUUGGUCAGUUAAUAAAACGAAGAGAAAAAUUUCUCAUUGGUGAAAACAGGAUGGUGAGGAUAACAUGGGGCCGUUUGUUUCACCAUUUGUCAUUUCCAUUCAAAUGAUUCAUUUGUAUGAUCUAUUCAAAUGAUCCAUUCAGAUUCUUGUGAUUGUUUGUUUGUCCAUCCACAUAGCUCAUCUAGAUGAAUCAUCUAAAUGGAUCUUAUGUUUGUUUCUUUAUUUUCAUUUCCAUUCAAAUGAGUUUAGCAAACAAAUUACCAAAAUACCCUUAUGUUGAUUUAAUCAUAUGUUUGAUAUUAAUUUUAACUAUAUUAUAUUUAAUUAUUUAAUUUAAUAUAUUUACAUUAGAAUUAUUUCAAAAUUAACGAGUUUUCUUUUUUUUGCGGUUUGGGCGGGAAAACAAGAUUUUUCGGUUUUAACGGAAAACAAGAUUAUUCGGUUCUGGCGGGAAAACGAGAUUUUUUGGUUUUGGCGGGAAAAUACAAAUUUUCAGUUUUGGCGAGAAAACAGGUUUUUGCGGUUUUGUCGGGAAACGCGUUUUUGCGGUUUUGGAGGGAACCACGUUUUUGCGAUUUUGGCGGAAACGCAUUUUUGCAGUUUUGGCUGGAAAACGCGUUUUUGCGGUUUUGGCGGGAAAACGCGUUUUUGCGGUUUUGGCGGGAAACAUGUUUUUGGCGGGAAAACGCAUUUUUGCGAUUUUGGUGGGAAAACGCGUUUUUGCUGUUUUGGCGGGAAAACGCGCUUUUGCUGUUUUGGCGGGAAAACGUGCUUUUGCUGUUUUGGCGGGAAAGCAAGUUUUUGCGGUUUUGGCGAGAAAACGCGUUUUUGCGUUUUUAGUGGGAAAACGCGUUUUUGCGAUUUUGGCGGAAAAUGCGUUUUUUGCGAUUUUGGCGGGAAAACACGUUUUCGGCGGGAACACAUUUUUACGGUUUUCGCGGGAAAACGAGAUUUUUCGGUUUUGGCGAGAAAAUACAAAUUUUCGGUUUUGGCGAGAAAACACGUUUUUUGGUUUUGACGGGAAAACACGUUUUUUUGGUUUUGGCGGGAAAGUACGUUUUUGCAAUUUUGGCGGGAAAGUACGUUUUUGCAAUUUUGGCGGGAAAACUCGUUUUGCGACUUUGGCGGAAAAACAUGUUUUUUGUGUUUUGGCGGAAAAUGUAUUUUGGGGUGUUGGCGUGAAAACAUUUUUUUGUAAUUUGUGAAUUACAUUAGGGGCAUAAUAGACUUUAUACCAUUUUGAAUGAACCAUCUCCAUUCAAAUGAUCCAAAUUGGUUCAGCUAAAUGAACUUUAAAAUUAAGCCUAAAUUUCCAAAAGUCAUCCAGAUGAUCCAUUUGAAUGAAUUGCACUUUUAGUGCCUAAACAAACAAAACUCUCAUCUUCAUCCGGAUGAUCCAUCCAAAUGGAGAAAGAAACAGACCCCUUCUAUAUUCGAUCCCCACCGUAGAUUUAACUCGAUCUAAGGGGCAUAAGUGAUUCACUUUAAUAUUUUUCUUUUUUUUUUGCAAUCUCUCGUCUCCUCUUCUCUCGCAAUCUCUCGUCUCCUCCUCUCUCACCACCAUCUCUUCAACCUUCUUGCUCAGGAUAACUUAUCUGAAAUCCUCCUCUCUCAUCAUCUCAUAUCUUGCAAUCAUCUUCUCCCAUCAAUCCUCCUCUCUCAUCACCUAUUCAAUCCUCAUCUCACGAUCUCUCAAACUUGCUGUCUGUCGUCACGGAUUUAAGCUCACCACCUCUGCUCAAGUCUGGAAACCAUGACCCCUCGCCUCCUCCCCUUGGUCUAUCUCUUCUUAAGUGUUCAUCUUCUUUUUAUCUUUUUUUAAAUAAAAUCUAUUGCUUUUGUUUACAGAUCUGGAAUAAUGAUGACAUAGAGGAGGUAAUGAUGAUCCAUAGACAGAGGCGGCGGCCGACGCACAAAGAGGUUGAAGACGGCGGGGAGUUAUGAAGACGACGGGCGAUGCACAAAAAGAGGCCUACGAAGUCAGAAUGGAAGAGGAAGAGUAAGCUAGCUGUAGUGAUGGAGGUAGAUUCAAGCAAGAAGAGAAGAGAGGCGGGCAAGAGAAGAAGAAGAAGAGAGGCAGAGAAGGAACGUAGACUAGGUUUUAGUUUUAGGUUUAGCUUUUCAAUUUUUCUUUAAAAAAUUGGUUUAGUUUGGUUUACUUUCAUGUAUCGGUAUAAAAAAAUUGAUAUAUAAAUUUUUUAAAAAAAAAAAUUUAAUUUUUUUUUUUAUUUUUUAAUAAUGUAAUAAUAACAAAACUUAUAUGCUAUUAAAGAAUAUUUAAUUGCAGAUAGAAAAGCGCUAUCGUAGCGGAAGAAACGAUAGCAGUGUUAAAAACCGCUAUGUAAUGUCCUUUACCUAUUAUGACGGGCGAUGAUACAGCGUUUCAAAAACCGCUAUCUUAUCGUUAUAUAGCGUUUUUCGCCCGCUAAUAAAACUCAUUUUUCUUGUAGUGGUGUCGACCUUUGAUUAUUUUUCUUUUAGACAAAAAACAAUAUAUAUAUUUCUAAGAAACCUCUUAGCGAUAAUGAUGCUCUACAACCUAUAACACUAUUAUAGUGUCAAAAUCACACUAUUUAAGUAUAAUUUCAACACUAAAAAAAGUUUUUUUCCAACCAUAACACCAAAAUUUUACACUAAAAUAUAUUUUAUAAUAUUAUAUGUAUUUAUAGUUUUAUUUGUCAUUUAUAUAAUUGUCCAUUUUCUUAAUAAAUUACUUGAAUAAUGUUUUAGUGGAGGAAAUAGUAUUUUAGUGUGGUGAAUAAUGUCACACCAAAAAUAUUAUAGUGAUACACUAAAAUAGUGUGAAUUUUAGUAUUGGGUUGUAGAAGGUUUUAGUGUCAAAAUCACAAUAAAAUAGUGUUGGGUUGGAGAUGACUAAGGUGUAUUAAUUAGUUUGAGGUGUUUUGCAUUUUAAAAUACCUUAUAAAUUUAUAAUCAGGUUUAUUAAAUUGUUAUUUGAUAAACUACGUACUUUGUAAUAAAAAAUUGAAGUUGUGAAUUUUAAAAUUCUUUAUUCAUUAUAGAGUGUUUUUGUUGAGUCUCUUAGUUGAAAAAAAAAAUCUCAAAUACUUAUCUUUUUGAUUCCGAUCAAUGAUCGGACUGUAGUAUAUAGUGUUAUUUCGGUUUGUCUUCAGUUUCCGAUCGGGUUAGAUCCUCAUCUAACCGUUUUGAUUAGAUUCCGUUGCUUUUGUUUCUGAUUGAACCGAUAAUCUCUUCUUCUCGUUUCAAUUUUUUUGUGUUAAUUUUCUUCUCGUUUCAUUCGGAUUAAUAAACUUUGGAUUGCUAAAUGUGUAUAAGGGGAACAAUCGGUGAAAACGCGUUUUUGCUGUUUUGGCGGGAAAACGCGCUUUUGCUGUUUUGGCGGGAAAACGCGCUUUUGCUGUUUUGGCGGGAAAACGUGCUUUUGCUGUUUUGGCGGAAAGCAAGUUUUUGCGGUUUUGGCGGGAAAACGCGUUUUUGCGUUUUUAGCGGGAAAAAAGCGUUUUUGCGAUUUUGGCGGAAAAUGCGUUUUUUGCGAUUUUGGCGGGAAAACACGUUUUCGGCGGGAACACAUUUUUACGGUUUUCGUAAUCGAUGAUGCUGAGGGACUAGAGAAGAUUGAGAAUCUGCAGAGUCAUGACAACAGCGAGAUAUAUGAGAAGGCAGUGAAGAUUCUUGAAACAUACUGGUUGGAGGAGGAAGACGAGACUUUACCACCUGGUGAUGAAUCUGCUCAGGGAUUCCAGUUUGGGGGUAGCGAUGCAGCCGCACCUCCAGGUGGAUUCAACUUCAAGUGAAGG